ACUGUACUACAGGUGGGCUGGGAGGGGCAGAGUAAGCUGGCUACGCUGGCUACUCAUAAGGAUGGAGUGAGGUGGCCAGAGUCAGUCUGCUACAGCAGCACCACAUCAUCCAUCAUUGUGGGACAGAUGUGGGACGACACCAUCCUGGUGUUCAGAGUGGAAUAGUUUGUACAUUCGCUGCUGAGUCAGGACAAGGAUGCUGAGGAUGUGGUGGACAAGGAUGACCUGAAUACACAGAAGGAGAGCCCCGGUUUUGAUAUUGAGUUGGUACGGCAACAGCACCAGUCGGGCCUGCACAAGCCUCAAGUCAAGCACGACCCCUCCCCUGACCCCUAGCUUCUCCCAUUUGACUUCCAGCUUCAAAGGGUCAGCAUCGUUGAACAAAUUCCUCCUAUAAAAAAUUUUGAGCACAAAGAGUUUUCACACAUGGUUCUCAUCAACCACAAUUUUCGUGUCGAGUGAUCCGCACUUGAGUCUGUUUGGUUUGUUAGACCCGAGUGCCAGAGAUGGGACAACCAUUACAGACACAAGGACUUAUUGCAGCAGUUAUGGCAACAUGUACAGUCAGUUCUCAAUGUUGGACUUCACAACUAAUAUCACGAUAAAUACAAAGUUGGAUAACUCGUUCCAUUCUUUUUGGGACAAACAAUACAACGGAAAGUAACAAGAGAAAAUCAAGUAAUAUUUGUAGAGUUUUAGUCGGAAGCGUUUGCUUACCACUGGCAUACUCCUGGACAGUCGUAACUUUACGGACAGUCCCGGUUUGUCCUCACAGGUGUCCAAACUGUCCAAAGAGAACGCACUUUUGACGCAGUUGCUAACUUAGAAAGGCAGCACCUACUUUGUUGUGAACACUCAGAGCAUCCAUGGCCAUGCCUCAGGCGGGAAGUUCGACCAACAGCUGAAACAAGAUGCUAAAGGUGAACCCAUCAGGGUUUGUAACUUCCCACUCCAAUCCUUAACAGCCUGGCAUUGAGUCGGCGCUUGAGAAGGCGUUGAAAAAUGACUGGGCCCUUAGCAAUAUCAGCGAGGCUAGAAUGUCAUCUCUGCAUCUUGAGCUUCAGAAAACAUUAAAAGCAAACAAGACAAACAUCAUGAAUGUUUAGGCAAUCCCAAUCCACUUAUACUACAACUCGCUCAGGAAAUUCAGCACGCCACCUUUUAACAUCUUCUCACAAGGCGCUAAAUCAACACUUCCAACAGCUGAGCCUUGGACAGCACCACCAUUGAUAUCGAGUUGGCCCAGCAACAGCACCAGUCCGGCCUGCAGGAGCCCCAGUCCAGGACGACCCAUCCACUCCCCUGACCCUUAACUCAUCAUACUUGAUAUCCGGAAAAAUGGGGCCUUAUGCAUGUGCUUAAAUUGUUGUCACAGAUAAGCCUAUGCAGUUUGCACAGGCUAAUAAUGGACAACAUUUUCCUCUUAAAGCAGAGCACCAGCAUUGAUAACGAGUUGGCCCAGCAACCGCACCAGUCCCGCCUGCAGAAGCCCCAGUCCAGAAUGACCCUCCCCCUCCAUUGACUUCUAACUCCUCCCCCUUGACCUCCUGCCUCAAAAAGUCAGCAUCGUUGAACAACUCUGUUCUGCAGGAAAUUCUGAGCAUGAUUCUGUUCUGACAAAACGCAAUGCCCACUUUACGUUUUCCAAACAAAAGCCUGGGUAGUUUUGUUAAACUAGAGUUCCGCGUGGGCCUAAUAGGGACGAGUGUUACAGACAUGAAAAUUUAUAGCAGUAGUUAUGGUAACGCUAACAGUCAGUUGUUGCUGUUGGACAUCACAUCAAAUAUCAUGAAGAAUAAAAAGUUCAAUCACUUGUUCCAAUCUUUAUGGGACAAACAGAACUUAAACAGGAGAGAAUCAAGGAACAAUAAAAGCGUAAGCUUUCCUAGUGGUAUACAUCUGCUGUUGAUAGUUUGGACAACAGAAGGGUUACGGACUGCCCCAGAUUGUCCUCUCAGCGGCAAAAAUAUCAUAAAAGAACAGACUUUUAGCAAUGUUACUGACAAAAAAAGGCAAAAAUGACUUGGUUGUGAACACCCAGAGCGCGAUACAUCCAUUCUGACACAGAAAGGCGGUAAUAACUUAGUUGUGAACACCCAGAGCACAAUACAUCCAUGCUGACACAGAAAGGAAGUAAUGACUUGGUUGUGAACACCCAGAGCACAAUACAUCCAUGCUGACACAGAAAAUAAGUAAUGACAUGGUUGUGAACACCCAGAGCAAGAUAUAUCCAUGCUGACACAGAAAGGCAGUAAUGACUAUGCUGUGAAAAACCCAGAGCACAAUACAUCCAUGCUGACACAGAAAGGCAGUAAUGGCUUGGUUGGGAACACCCAGAGCACAAUACAUCCAUGCUGACAGAGAAAGACAGUAAUGACUUGGCUGUGAACACAGAACACAAUACACCCAUGCUGACACAGAAAGGCAGUAAUGAGUUGGCUGUGAACAAAGAGUACAAUACAUCCAUGCUGAAACAGAAAGGCAGUCAUGACUAUGCUGUGAACACCCAGAGCACGAUAUAUCCAUGCUGACACAGAAAGGCAGUAAUGACUAUGCUGUGAACACCCAGAGCAAGAUAUUUCCAUGCUGACACAGAAAGGCAAUAAUGACUAUGCUGUGAACACCCAAAACACAAUACAUCCAUGCUGACACAGAAAGGCAGUAAUGACUUGGUUGUGAACACCAGGAGCAAGAUAUAUCCAUGCUGACACAGAACGGCAGUAAUGACUUGGCUGUAAACACAGAGCACAAUACAUCCAUGCUGACACAGAAAGGCAGUAAAGACUUGGAUGUAAACACCCAGAGCACAAUACAUCCAUGCUGACACAGAAAGGCAGUAAUGACUUGGUUGUAAACACAGAGCACAAUACAUCCAUGCUGACACAGAAAGGCAGUAAUGACUUGGUUGUGAACACAGAGCACAAUACAUCCUUGUAUGACUUGGUUGUGAACACCCUGAGUACCCUACAUGCAUGCUGACACAGAAAGGCAGUAAUGACUUGGUUGUAAACACCCAGAGCACAAUACAUCCAUGCUGACACAGAAAGGCGGUAAUAACUUGGUUGUAAACACCCAGAGCACAAUACAUCCAUGCUGACACAGAAAGGCAGUAAAGACUUGGUUGUAAACACCCAGAGCACAAUACAUCCAUGCUGACACAAAAAGGCAGUAAAGACUUUGUUGUAAACACUAAGAGAUCCAUACAUCCAUGGGGUGUGCCACAGCCGCAAAUUACGCCCACUAUUGUGAACAAGGUUCUUAAAGUGAACACGUCUGGUUUUGUUAUGAGCACAUAGCACUCCAAGCCCAAAAGGCCUCACAUUGAAUUGAUGCAAGAGAAGGCUUUGAAAAAUAACAGCAGUUUUGUUGAGUGGUCCAAUACGCCCUUCGACUCUCAACCUGAAGAAAGCAAAACUCAAACUCGUCUCUUAGCAAUAUCAGCAAGGCCAGCAUGUCAUCUCAGCUUCUUGAACUUCAGUUUUAGUCAAAAUGACAUGAUUGUUCCUCAGUCAGGCCCCAUUCACAAAAUGAUGAAAAAACUCAAUUACGCGUGAGUGAACUUUACUAGCAAACAUGACAAACGUCAUUGAAGUGAAAGUCGAUGACAACCCCCUUCUUGCACAAGUACUACAACUCGCUUAAGAAAUUCAGCACAAAGACGUCUUGCGUAAUACUACCAAGCCUCCUAUCAAUAUCUCCUCCCAUGUUGGCUACAUCAACACUUAAAACAGCAGAGCCUUUGUGAGUUCGACUUCCGUCUCAGCGUCGAUGUCGCUUAGCAACAAUUGGAUGAUGGGCGUCGACAAAUUAGGCCGGACAAGUCACUCGAACUGAAACGAUCUGAUCGAACAGGUAGAGCAGGCGUUGCGUGACACGUCCGUUAAUGUGACUGACCUCGAAAUGUUGUUCUCGAAUUAUGUGAACCUUAGGCCUGGAGAGCAGUUUGCAAUUGAAACCUUUCAACAACAGUUGUUGUCGGCAAUUCAUGGGUUUGAAGUGGGGACUUCGGCGGCGGGACUCACUCCAUCUCUGUCUAUGGCCGAGUGGCAGCAGCAGCAGCAGCAACAAGAACAAUAAAGCCUGUUUCUACAGGAACCCAUGCAAUCAUAGAUCAGUACCUAGCUGAACAACCGGAUGUCCGGUCAGCUGGGCCCAGACGCCCAGUGACACUUCCUGGCCCAGGACCUUGGGGCAAAUGCUCAACUAGUCCUACCUGCAGGGUGGAGCCACUCUGAACCUGGGGCUCCAUACUUUCUUGGUCAGGGGCCAAGAUUACCUCGUCAAUAAGGAACACAUUCCUGGGAUGCCCUAAGGUGUUUCUAUCUGUUCACAGAGGUCUUAUACUCACAAGUUCAAGCCCAGUGAGCGAUGUUCACAUUAUCAAAAUCUGCAUCUCAAUAGAAACCAGGAUAGCAAAGCGUUGGUUUGUUUUUGAAGCAUUUGAACCAGCAACAGUCAUCAUUCGAGUUUCUGACAUGCCAAUGGUGCGGAACCCCUCAAUCUAUGAACAUCAUAACAGCACAUGAACCAGCAGCAGUCAUCAUCUCAAGAUUAUGGUAUAUCCAAGGUACAGGACCCUCAGUCUAUGAACAUCAUAACAGCAAAUGAACCAGCAGCAGUCAUCAUCUCAAGAUUCUGGUAUAUCCAUGGUACAGGACCCUUAGUCUGUACAAAUCUUGCAGAACGAAUUUCAGAUGCAAUUGGAGGAAAUCAAGCCAUUCAAUCAGAAACACAGCCGGUUGCAGCUAUUGUUAACAUAUUGACCCCAGUGAUACCUAAGAAGCUCAGAGUUACAUACUGUUUUAGAUGUGCUAGUCUUCACAUACCUCCUGGUUUGUUCAACACUUACUCUGAAUCUUUGAAUGUUAUAAAGGGUGAAAAUGAAUGACCUUGUUCAGAUCGAAAUGGCAGAAUGACACAUCACAACAAUUCAAGUGGAAAGCCACAAAGUCAUGUCAACAGCGACAUGUUGUAUGUUGCCAGCCAAGUUGUAUUAAAAAACACAAUAGCUUACGUUUUAUGUUAUAUGUGACCAACCAAGUUAUAUUCAUACAAAAACAAUAGUUUAUGUUUUAUGGGAAUGUUUAUGCUGUCAGUAUUGAUGUUGAAAUAUUUUGUUAAAUAUAGCAUGUCAAGUAUUUUAAAAGCAUGCAUAUGCAAUGUCUUUGUCUAUAUUAUCAUAUCACUACAUAUUUUGAUCCUGAUAAUGGUAAAUUAACUUACACUUUUAUCAAAGACUUUCAAAGUGUGACAAAGCUGUUUAAAUGAGGCUGGACAACAUGAAAAAAAUAUUGGAGUAUUUUCAUGUUAUAACACAUGUUUCAGUUUUCUGUUUUUUUACCCGUAUUAUAGAUAAGCUAUAUAAAAGUAGUGUUAAGAAAGUUUUAGAAGUUUUACGCUUCAGCUUUUUCUGUUUAUCAAUCUUUCUAAAAACAAUACUAGUAAAUCUGCUAAUUCCGGUCGGUAUUUGAACAAGAAUCUUGUUUAAUAGCAUUCAUGGGAAUCUAAAUAAAUUAUAUGCAAUAUUAUGUAAUCUACCUAAAAGUAUCGAUUCUGUAUUUACUACCAGUACUUUGUUGAUUUCAAUGCAUAUUGUUUGUUAAAUAUUCGAAAUGGCUCUUGGAUUUGGGGGAAAACUUAAAGGAAAACUAAAAAUUAAAAAAUUAUUUUUUUUAGAGUUUUAUGAAAAAUGGCAAAAGUUAUAAAUGUUAAUUUGUGUUGUUAGAUCAAAGACUAAGAUGCUCAUAAGUGUUUAGAUUUAUUUUCGGACAUAAUAGUUUAUAAUGCUUUAUAUUUGUAUAUGCAUAUGAAGACGACCAGAAUGUAUCCUCUUUAAUCACUGAGUAUCUUAAUCAAUAUCUCUUGAUCACUGCAUACAUUGUAGAGGUAUAUUUUGAUAUUUAUACACAGAGCAACUGUGAAACAAUAGUAUUUUAGAUGUACAUUAUUUUUUUAGUGUGGCAAUUUUUAUAAGAUAAACUCACUGUUUACAUUAAUUUGUGCAAACCAUAGUCAUAAAAAUAUUGAUUGUGUGAAUCCUCAUAUUUGUAUUAAACUGUUAAAAUAAUGUACAGUAACAGAUUCUGAAGAGAAAACUGUACUCAAUGAAAUAUAAACCCCUUGUUAUAUUAACUGCUUUAUAUUAAGAACAGCUACUUAAAAUAAGUUUAAUUUUGUUUUACAUUAUCUAAAGAAAAUUUAGUACAUUUUUAUUUGAAAUCAGUCAUUUACAAAUUAAGGAAGAGUGUUGUCAUAUGCUAACAAUUGUCAAAAAAUGCGAUUGUCUCUAUUGGUAAAGUAGAGAGCAAUAUUAUUUGCUUAAACAAAAAAAAGCAAAGAUGUCUGCUUUGAAAGUGUAUGUGAAAUAAACACUUAUGUUUGUUCUUAUAUUAAACGUGAACGUAUUGAUGUAUAGCUGAUAAUAAAGUUUGACAUUUUAUUAGUUUUGUAACAAUGUGUUUUUUACCUUUUACGUUAACAUUCCCACAAUUGAUGUUAGUGCAGUGCCUUCAAUGGAGCCAUUUUCUGUAAAUCUCCCACUGUUAAAGUUCAGCAAAAGUUUUAAGACCAGAUUUCCGUAAACUUAGGGUUGUUUAUAUUUAACAUUUAUUGAAUGCAUGAAACAUGUUUGUUCUGUUGUUGAAUAGCUGAACAUUGAUGUUUGUAAAUUGUGUGACAUGUUGAUCAAAUUGAUACAUAGAAACAAACACUCAUUAUGCGUUAAUUUGUACGUUAAGCUAAACAAAAAAUGUUACCAAACACAAAUAUAAGUAUUUGGUAACAAUAUACAAAAUUGUGCUAUAUUCUUAAAACCGUAUCAAAUGCAAGUUGAAAUGUAAUGUUUAAAUAUGUCCUUCGACUCCAAAUAAGCAUUUUGAAUAAGCAAAUUAAUACAUUUAUAAUCUCUAUGGAAAGUACCCGUAGGCACUUUUCAAUCGCUUGUGUACUUCAUAUUGAUCAGGGUCUUUCUAAAUUCAUGCAUGAUUUUUUAUGCGUAUGUCUAAAUUGUGUAAAUAUCUGUUAAAUAACUUUUAAAAAGGAUUUUAAUAUUAUAAGUUAAAAUAGUGUCUAAACUGUAACCGGUCAUUUGUUGCAUUUAUUUUUACGUGUUUAUAUUUUCUGGCUUACUGUGCUUAAUUUUGUAUAUAAUCGUACGUACUUUUAUUGUGGUUUUCGUAUUUAGACAAAGCGCACUACACUUUUGCUGUUGUUUUUGUCCACCAUUUCUAUACAAAAUGUUGUAUGUAAAUAAUUAAACAUGUUGAUGUUGGUAAUAAUGUAUUUCCUGAUCUAAUAUUGAUGAUGCACUCAAUAAAGUACAUAACCAUUUAUGUGGACUAGUAUUGUUUAGUUAUAGUUUGUUGUUAUAACUAAUAAAAUCUUCAAGGAUUG